CCACACAUUUUCUUGAGCUUCCAGUGAGUUAUUUUUAAAUUAUCUGCAGAGAGCCUGUGGCUUAUUUCCUUUAAAUUAAUCCAUGAAUUUUCCCCUAAUAAAUGCACUUAUUUUAUUACAUUUGUAAAAUGAAGUAAAUGUACUAUAGUUUUUUGGGUUUUCCCCUGAGUUGAAUCAUAUUGUGAUAGCUCAUAUAAUAGUGGUACACUUUCAGAUUUUAUAUAGAUAGAACUUCUUACUCUUUCUUCCAAAUCUAAUAUAAUUUAUUUUUUUCUGGGCUCUAACAUCACCUUUUAGAAUUAAUCUGAAUAUUGCAUAGAAACUAAUUCUCAAAAUCUCAUUCACAUUCGGUGUUUGUCAAUGUAAGUGUUUUACGGCACUCUAAUCUUUCUGAGUUCUCUAUAGUUUGUAGCUUGGCUUAUAUGUCAUUGAUUUUUCUCUUUCUACCCAAGCUUUUGAGAUGAAAAUGAAAGCAAAAUUAUCACCUCAAUUCCAAUUCAAUGCAAUAUAGUAAUUAUAUCACUAUGAAUUCUAAUCUCCCCAUUUUGUUUUUAGAAUCUAUUAUUUUAAGUGGGUAGUGUCAUUUUCACCACCUGAUAAAAAGAGAUAGGAAUCCCAGACAUCUCGAUUCCUCAAACAACAACUUACUGCCACACAGAGUCACAGGGACAUCAAGAUCACACAGCACGUGAUACACACCUGGCAGAGACUGCAAAUUGUUGGCCCAUUAAUCAUAUCCUGUUUGCAGCUAUUAUUUGCUUGACCUGCAUAGUAUCCACCAGCAUGUUGUUGCUGUUUUUAAAUUUCAUUAACUGACAAAAUGUAAGAAAUCAGCAUAUUACACAUAAAAAUCCAGAUUUCCAAUUUCCCUUGAAAUUAAGGAUGCCUGACAAUAAUCAGCUGGAGCAGAGGAGCAGUGGAUCACUUUGGACUGAGCAAGCAUUCCAGUUUGCCACAACCCCACCACUUCUUUCCCCUGAUCUUGAAGGUGAACACCAACUGCCCCCCAAUCAGCUGCCCUACAUUUGGAAGCCCUCUUCUGACAGAGAGACACCCCAUUUAAACACCACAACUGUGAUUAAAAUACCUUUUUUUUCCCUUUUCUUUUCUUUUUUUCUUUUUGGCCAAUUUUACAAAACAGGCACAAUAAAUCCACUUCUAUCUAAAGAAGAAGGAACUUGA
rnacentral:lncRNA from 12 species